rnacentral:rRNA from 1 species
CGGACGGGUGAGUAAUGUCUGGGAAACUGCCUGAUGGAGGGGGAUAACUACUGGAAACGGUAGCUAAUACCGCAUAAUGUCUACGGACCAAAGCGGGGGACCUCCGGGCCUCGCGCCAUCAGAUGAACCCAUAUGGGAUUAGCUAGUAGGUGGGGUAACGGCUCACCUAGGCGACGAUCCCUAGCUGGUCUGAGAGGAUGAUCAGCCACACUGGGACUGAGACACGGCCCAG